rnacentral:rRNA from 1 species
UAGCAUAUCACCAAGCGGAGGAAAAGAAACCAACAGGGAUUGCCUCAGUAACGGCGAGUGAAGCGGCAACAGCUCAAAUUUGAAAUCUGGCCUCUUGGGGUCCGAGUUGUAAUUUGUAGAGGAUGUUUCGGGUACCGCCUCGGUUUAAAUUUCUUGGAACAGAAUGUCAAAGAGGGUGAGAAUCCCGUCUUGGACCGGCGGUAGGGCCUAUGUGAAACUCCUUCGACGAGUCGAGUUGUUUGGGAAUGCAGCUCAAAAUGGGUGGUAAAUUUCAUCUAAAGCUAAAUAUUGGCCAGAGACCGAUAGCGCACAAGUAGAGUGAUCGAAAGAUGAAAAGCACUUUGAAAAGAGAGUUAAACAGUAUGUGAAAUUGUUGAAAGGGAAGCGCUUGCAACCAGACUUGAGCGCGGCGGUUCCCCCUUGCUUCUGCUUGGGUUACUCCGCCGUGUCCAGGCCAACAUCGGUUCUGGGGGUCGGUCAAAGGCUCUGGGAAUGUAUCUACCCACGGGUAGACUUAUAGACCAGGGUGUCAUGCGACCUCCCGGGACCGAGGAACGCGCUUCGGCUCGGAUGUUGGCGUAAUGGUUGUCAGCGACCCGUCUUGAAACACGGACCAAGGAGUCUAACAUCUAUGCGAGUGUUUGGGUGUCAAACCCGGAACGCGGAAUGAAAGUGAACGGAGGUAGGAAGCUUCGGCUGCACUAUCGACCGAUCCUGAAGUUUACGGAUGGAUUUGAGUAAGAGCAUAGCUGUUGGGACCCGAAAGAUGGUGAACUAUGCCUGAAUAGGGUGAAGCCAGAGGAAACUCUGGUGGAGGCUCGCAGCGGUUCUGACGUGCAAAUCGAUCGUCAAAUUUGGGUAUAGGGGCGAAAGACUAAUCGAACCAUCUGGUAGCUGGGUCCUGCGA